AGAGUUUGAUCCUGGCUCAGAAUCAACGCUGGCGGCGUGCCUCAGACAUGCAAGUCGAACGAUUAAGACUCCUUUCGGGGAGUGAAUAGAGUGGCGCACGGGUGAGUAACACGUAGGUAAUCUACCUCCGAGUGGGGAAUACCAUCGGGAAACCGAUGCUAAUACCGCAUAAUAUCGAGAGAUCAAAGCUUUAUGUGCUUGGAGAGGAGCCUGCGGCAGAUUAGCUAGUUGGUAAGGUAAUGGCUUACCAAGGCGACGAUCUGUAUCCGGUCUAAGAGGACGGUCGGACACACUGACACUGAAUAACGGGUCAGACUCCUACGGGAGGCAGCAGUCGGGAAUUUUGGGCAAUGGGCGAAAGCCUGACCCAGCAACGCCGCGUGAAGGAUGAAGUCUUUCGGGAUGUAAACUUCGAAAGAAUAGGAAGAAUCAAUGACGGUACUAUUUUUAAGCCCCGGCUAACUCCGUG
rnacentral:rRNA from 1 species